rnacentral:misc_RNA from 1 species
GAUGAAGAACGUAGCGAAAUGCGAUACGUAAUGUGAAUUGCAAAUUCAGUGAAUCAUCGAGUCUUUGAACGCACAUUGCGCCCCCUGGUAUUCCGGGGGGCAUGCCUGUCCGAGCGUCAUUGCUGCCCUCAAGCACGGCUUGUGUGUUGGGCCCCGUCCUCCGAUCCCGGGGGACGGGCCCGAAAGGCAGCGGCGGCACCGCGUCCGGUCCUCGAGCGUAUGGGGCUUUGUCACCCGCUCUGUAGGCCCGGCCGGCGCUUGCCGAUCAACCCAAAUUUUUAUCCAGGUUGACCUCGGAUCAGGUAGGGGUACCCGCUGAACUUAAGCAUAUCAAUAAGCGGAGGA